rnacentral:rRNA from 1 species
UACGUAGGGGGCAAGCGUUGUCCGGAUUUAUUGGGCGUAAAGAGCGUGUAGGCGGCUAUACAGGUCCGCUGUGAAAACUCGAGGCUCAACCUCGAGACGUCGGUGGAAACCGUAUGGCUAGAGUCCGGAAGAGGAGAGUGGAAUUCCUGGUGUAGCGGUGAAAUGCGCAGAUAUCAGGAAGAACACCCGUGGCGAAGGCGGCUCUCUGGGACGGUACUAACGCUGAGACGCGAAAGCGUGGGUAGCAAACAGG